UACGGAGGGUGCAAGCGUUAUCCGGAUUCACUGGGUUUAAAGGGUGCGUAGGCGGAUUUGUAAGUCCGUGGUGAAAUCUCCAAGCUUAACUUGGAAAUUGCCGUGGAUACUAUAAGUCUUGAAUAUUGUGGAGGUUAGCGGAAUAUGUCAUGUAGCGGUGAAAUGCAUAGAUAUGACAUAGAACACCAAUUGCGAAGGCAGCUCACUACACGAAUAUUGACUCUGAGGCACGAAAGCGUGGGGAUCAAACAGG
rnacentral:rRNA from 1 species